rnacentral:rRNA from 1 species
UACGAAGGGGGCUAGCGUUGCUCGGAAUUACUGGGCGUAAAGCGCGCGUAGGCGGCUGUUCAAGUCAGAGGUGAAAGCCCGGGGCUCAACCCCGGAACUGCCUUUGAAACUAGAUAGCUAGAAUCAUGGAGAGGUCAGUGGAAUUCCGAGUGUAGAGGUGAAAUUCGUAGAUAUUCGGAAGAACACCAGUGGCGAAGGCGACUGACUGGACAUGUAUUGACGCUGAGGUGCGAAAGCGUGGGGAGCAAACAGGG